rnacentral:tRNA from 1 species
GCCUGGGUGGCUCAGUCGGUUAAGCGUCUGACUUCGGCUCAGGUCAUGAUCUCACGGUCAGUGGGUUUGAGCCCCGCUUCAGGGA